CCUACGAGUGGCAGCAGUGAGGAAUAUUGGUCAAUGGGCGCGAGCCUGAACCAGCCAAGUAGCGUGAAGGAUGACUGCCCUACGGGUUGUAAACUUCUUUUAUAAAGGAAUAAAGUGAGGCACGUAUGCCUUUUUGUAUGUACUUUAUGCAUAAGGAUCGGCUAACUCCAUGCCAGCAGCCGCGGUAAUACGGAGGAUCCGAGCUUUAUCCGGAUUUAUUGGGUUUAAAGGGAGCGUAGAUGGGUUGUUAAGUCAGGUGUGAAAGUUUGCGGCUCAACCGUAAAAUUGCAAUUGAUACUGGCAGUCUUGAGUACAGGUGAGGUAGGCGGAAUUCGUGGUGGAGCGGUGAAAUGCUUAGAUAUCACGAAGAACUCCGAUUGCGAAGGCAGCUUACUAAACUGCCACUGACAUUGAUGCUCGAAAGUGUGGGUAUCAAACAGGAUUAGAUACCCGGGUAGUC
rnacentral:rRNA from 1 species